GGAGGUUUAGCUUAGCGGCAUAAGCGCCUGCCUUGUAAGCAGGCAAUCGCCAGUUCGAUCCCUGGUACCA
rfam:Cavia porcellus supercont2_40 genomic scaffold, whole genome shotgun sequence.